rnacentral:rRNA from 1 species
UACGUAGGGUGCAAGCGUUGUCCGGAUUUAUUGGGCGUAAAGAGCUCGUAGGCGGUUGUCGCGUCGAAUGUGAAAACUUGGGGCUCAACUCCAAGCUUGCAUUCGAUACGGGCAGGCUAGAGUUCGGUAGGGGAGACUGGAAUUCCUGGUGUAGCGGUGAAAUGCGUAGAGAUCGGGAGGAACACCAGUGGCGAAGGCGGCUCGCUGGGCCGGACCUGACGCUGAGACGCGAAGGCGUGGGGAGCGAACGGG